UUAAAUACAAAAAUUCAACAAGUUAGAUCAUGCAAAAUAUUUGCAUUUUUUUGUGCUCUCACCCCGACCAUAUGCAAAAGAUCGGCGCAUUCUAGUAGUCCCUAAUCCCAUUAUGGCAUAUUGAGAGCACACA
ensembl:ncRNA F02G3.6 ncRNA